UACGUAGGCAGCAAGCGUUGUUCGGAGUUACUGGGCGUAAAGGGUGUGUAGGCGGUUGUUUAAGUUUGGUGUGAAAUCUCCCGGCUCAACUGGGAGGGUGCGCCGAAUACUGAAUGACUAGAGUGCGGGAGAGGAAAGUGGAAUUCCUGGUGUAGCGGUGAAAUGCGUAGAUAUCAGGUGGAACACCAGUGGCGAAGGCGGCUUUCUGGACGGUAACUGACGCUGAGACGCGAAAGCGUGGGGAGCAAACAGG
rnacentral:rRNA from 1 species